rnacentral:rRNA from 1 species
UACGUAGGUGGCAAGCGUUGUCCGGAUUUAUUGGGUUUAAAGGGUGCGUAGGUGGUCUAUUAAGUCAGUGCUGAAAUAUCCCGGCUUAACCGGGAGGGUGGCAUUGAUACUGAUGGACUUGAGUGGAGUCGAGGUAGGCGGAAUUGACGGUGUAGCGGUGAAAUGCUUAGAUAUCGUCAAGAACACCGAUAGUGUAGACAGCUUACUAGGCUUUGACUGACACUGAGGCACGAAAGUGUGGGGAUCAAACAGG